rnacentral:rRNA from 1 species
AUCAGAAGUGCGAAUGCUGACAUAAGUAACGAUAAAGCGGGUGAAAAGCCCGCUCGCCGGAAGACCAAGGGUUCCUGUCCAACGUUAAUCGGGGCAGGGUGAGUCGACCCCUAAGGCGAGGCCGAAAGGCGUAGUCGAUGGGAAACAGGUUAAUAUUCCUGUACUUGGUGUUACUGCGAAGGGGGGACGGAGAAGGCUAUGUUGGCCGGGCGACGGUUGUCCCGGUUUAAGCGUGUAGGCUGGUUUUCCAGGCAAAUCCGGAAAAUCAAGGCUGAGGCGUGAUGACGAGGCACUACGGUGCUGAAGCAACAAAUGCCCUGCUUCCAGGAAAAG